rnacentral:lncRNA from 1 species
GUGCUCUCAGUCCCUGACCGACUCAGAUGCAGAUGGCAGCAGCGCAGCCACAGGAAGUGGGACGCAGCCUGUGGCCUCCGAGAUUGGCUUCUCUGUGUCCUCCUUGCUGUGGACCCCGUGACGCCACAGAUUCUAGGUCUGUCAAAGAAAGUGAAGACCUAGACAUCAGAUGUCACUGUGGACAGAAGGAGACAUAGACCCCUGAGUUGAGGUUUUCAAAUACAAGUUAAUAGGCAUUCAGAAGUUGCUAAGUGGCACAUAAGCAGUGAUUCCAUAAAUCUCUGAAGUACAGUAUUGGCUUGGUGACAUGAUGCCUUUAUUCCCUCAUUGAAUAGUUCCACAGAGAUAAAGAACUGAGCUCAAACAAUGCAGCUGCUCAAGUUCAAGUAAAGUUUUGUUUUUUUUUGUCUCUUUUUGAAAUUCUCUAUUGACAGGAGUCUCGUCAGUUUCUCCCUUCAAGCCCAGUAGCACAAUGAAGAGGAUAAGAGUACUCAGUGGAUGCUCAGUAAAUGUUUUUUUGAAUGACUAAAUGAAUGAAGGCAAGAACUGGUACUAUGAAAGAAUAAUAAUAAUCAUCAUCAUCAUCUUA